GGGGAUGCUGAGGUGCACUACUUUUCUGUUACUCCAGAAAGAGAACAUGAUGACUUCCUAGGACUGGAUAGGCAUAUGAGGAAGGGCAAUGGAUCCUGGGGUCUUGCCCAUUUUGACCAAGGAUGCUCUUGCAAUGGAUCACUCCACCAAACCACACUCCUGCCCCUGUUACUGCUACUGCCUCUGUAGCAGUCUCAUGAGAUGGCUGGUCUACUGGGGAGGACCUCAGUAGAUCAACCCCUGCCUCAGAAGGCCAGAGGUGUCCUUAUAGCCACCAAACUAGUAGUCACUGAUAGACCUGUCCUCUAUGAAUUUGAAUUUGUCCUCUUAAAAGGAUGAAUUUGUCCUCUUAAAGUCUUGGCCUUCCGUUGGACUGCAUGAUCAUGCUAUUCAACAAUGGGGGCCCUUCUUGCGUGUGGCCCCUGUUCUCUCUGGUUAAUGACAGAACUUUUGCACAGUGACCUGCUCCUCUCCAGGGACUCCUUUCAUGAACCCAAAGGGGUUUUUGAUUCUCCCUGUGUCUAGGCGAGCGGUUUGGGGAAACACCGUGACCAGGGAGGGGUCUUUACUGUUGUUCAAAUCUCCAGGGUUCGGACCAGCUUUGCACCGUAUGCCGAUCUGCUGCCACAGGGAAUCAUGGGAGAGGGGUGCUCCAGUUUGCAGCCAUGCCAGGCAAGUGGGAUUGCCAUUACAGGCAAAAAUGUAUUCAAAAGAGCGGACGGGCUGGCAGAGGGCACACUUUGACAGCUUCUUCAUGUCAGUUGCCAAGACAGGGAGAGCUGAGGCUUGCUUGUAUAGAACAACCUGGCUGGGCAGCAUCUGCCAUCUGGUCCCCAUGGCCUGACCAGCUCGUGAGAGAGCGGUCCAUGGGCAAAGGGAGGACUGCACAUUAUCAGCGACUAAGCCCACCAUCCCUUUCCCCACAGACAGUUCUUCUCAUGAAGUGGUUUUCUCAUGGCCUUUCACUCUCAUAAGUGAGCAGUCUGCUCAGGAACAGCAUCCAUCCUCAUCACGUAUCCUUUCAAUGAUGGUGAUGCUGCUCCUGCUGGAUGGUUUUUCUCAUGAGUAUGCCUAGGGACCCUACAGGUUCACCCAAGGGGAAGGGGCUAGGCCUCAAGAAGUCCUGGCUGGGGCUGCCUUGUAAACCCAACCCUGGGCAUCACCCCCACACACACCAGCAUAUGUUGCCAUUCCAGAGCUCUAAUGGGGUUGCCCUGUUUAUGUUGCCACCCCCAGGACAUGUGAUUCUGAAUAUACAUCUUUUUGCAUCAUUUCCAGAGAGCAAAGAGCAUAAUGCCUGUCUUGUCAUCUCGUCCCCUUUCUCUUCUGAUUGCCAGGAGCGGGGAACAAGGGACAGGAUAGGGAAGGGUCAUGCCCCUGGAUGACUUUGCUAAUUGACAGGCUGACAAGCUCAGGAUGGGAUGUGGCAGAGUCCCUGUUGCCAGGCAACAGCUUUGUUGCAUCAAAGAUAGGGGCAGGACAAGUGUUGGAGGCUACAACAGUCUAGAACCAUCUUAUUUAUGUAUUAUAUUAAUUUUCUUUGUAAACCACUUUGAGAACUUUUCUUGAAAAGUGGUAUAUAUGAGUAAUCAUAAUUAUAGUAGUAGAACCUUCUCAAUAGACACUCUAGAGCUAUGGAAUGCUCUUCCAUGGACUGUGCAAUUGUCUCCAUUCAUUCCGAUGCUUCAAAAGCAGGUUACAACAUUUUUGUUUCUCUUAUACUAGUUCUUACAUCUUGCUGGUGCUUUCCAUUAAUCAUUGAGUUUUACUACAAUUGUGUGUGUUUAUGCUGUUCUGAUUUGUUUUUAAGUUUGUCUGCUCUAAGCUACCUUUAAAUAAGCCACCUAAUGGCACAGCGGGGAAAUGAAAGGACUAGCAAGCCUGAGGUUGCCAGUUCAAACUUCUGCUGGUAUGUUUCCCAGAUUAUAGGAAACACCUAUAUGAGGCAGCAGCAUCGGAAGAUGCUGAAAGGCAUCAUCUCAUACUGUGCAGAAGAUGGUGAUGGUAAACCCUCCUGCAUCCUACCAAAGAAAACCACAGGGCUCUGUGGUCGCCAGGAGUCGACACCAACUCGAUGGCACACUUUGCCUAAGCUGCCUUUAAAUCUUUUUAAAAAUGAAAAUUAGUAUAUAAGUUGAAUCAAUUAAAUAAAUAAACAUAUCUGAUCUGUGCUGUACAGCAUGUAUUGUUUCUAUGUCCAUCCAUGUGAUUAGUAAGGACAGAGCUUCCCAUUGCUGAUGUGGAGGUGCCCUUCGGAAAAUGGAUUUCCCUUUUCUACAAAUAUUUCUCAUGUUUCCAGCUGGUAAUUAAAACAGAGGAGAUCCAUUUUAAUUACCAACUAAUGAAAGCAGAGGAGAUCCAUGCCAUCCCCUCACUCCUGGUCCACCACAGGAUCCUUAAAAUCUGUCCUCAUUGUGUUUUAAUCAUGCUUUUAAUGUGUAAUGCCUUUGAAUUCCAGGACGAAAGGUGGUUUCAUAAAUGUAAAUAAUAAAUAAAGCCUCCAGAACUUAUCAUGUGUUUCUGUAACCUGAAGCCUCCAGUUCCAUGGAGCUGUGCUACAUCCUGUCCCUGGCAUUGGAGGUAGUGCUAUGAGAAAGAGCCUCUCUCCAGUUUCACUCGAGAUCCACUGGAGGUUGUAUCUCAGUGCUACUGAAGUUGGAUCCGAUUGCUACUGAACUGCCACAAAUGCAUCAUUAAACUAAGGCAAGGUCCUCCAUCAUUUGUCAUUAUGAGCAGAAGUUCACAAGGUCACAUUUGGCAAUACUGGAUAGAAUUUAGAUAAAAUUCAGAAAUACCUUGUUAUUUGAAAAGAUACAAAUGUGAGCCUCAAAACUUUAAAAAUAAUAAUUCAGUUCUAGGCUGACGAAGACAUUAACUUCUCCAUUGCUGCCCCGAGGCUUUGGAACACACUUCCUGCUGAAAUAAGAGCCUCCCCAUCUCUUACAACUUUUAAAAAGGCAUUCAAGACGCAUUUGUUCACCCAGGCUUUUGAUUAGACAUUGUUUUAACAGUGUUUUAAUUGUGUUUUAAUAGUUUUAAUGUUUUAAAUUUUAAUUGUUGAAAUGUGUUAAUCUUUUUAUUAGUUGUUUUUAUUGUCUUGUAAACCACCCAGAGGACUUGUGUUUUGGGCGGUAUAAAAAUGUGUUAAAUAAAUAUAGAAAAGAUUUUUUACUGCUUAGAAAAGUGUGUGGCAGUGUUUAAACCUAUUUGGCUUUUUAAAAGGCAUAACAGCUUUUUCUAAACUUGUCAAACAUGACAUCCAUUUUCUUUUUAUUAACAGAUUCUGUUUCACAUCAAUAGGUAAUAUGCAUUUAACAUUAAGCAACUGUACAAAGAAGUGCAUUUCUGUAUGUAAAAAAUGGCAUUAUAUUCCUCAUAGGAAAGAUAAUCGAAAUCUAAGUCUUUUUUGUGAAAACAUUUUUGUCUUUUGAAAGAAAGGCUAAAGACCUCAAUUUAGAACAUCCAUUCUAAAAUGACCAGGCUAGUCACUUGAUGGACAUAUCCAGAAAUUAUUUAGUGCCUUCGUUAUUUUUAAUACUGCCCUAGACCUUGGCCUCCUUUCUCUAUGUAAAUUUAAAAUAACCUAAAGCACUGAUCCCAAAGGACAAUUCACAUGCAUUAAUGCAUUUCAUAAAUAUGUUGGCAGUGUUCAAUUAUAGACAGGCAUGUAUUCAUGGACUUGUUAAAAGUUUUGCCUUGUUAUUUUACCAUUGGGUUGUUUUCCCCAUCAACUGAAAUAAUUCAAGAACUGUAAUUUUUUUAAGGACAUCUACCUGUGUCCUUAAAGGUAAAAUUCUUUUAGGAGGAGCCAGUUUCAUAACUAAAAGUAAGUAUUAAUUUAACAGCUUGUCAGUAACAUUCCUGAAGCCACUAGUGAUGUUAUUAUUUAUUCAUUUCCUGGUCGCUCAUUUGAUUCCUCAAAUUAUCACUGAUGGAUUUCCAAAUAGAAGUGUUGUCCUUGAUCCAUCAACUUCUGUUCUUACAGUGGCUUGUUAUGUUACUGUCACUGAAAUAAGUGAAAGUCACUUUACUAGAACACAUUAGUGGGAAUUAGAGCUAAUGUGUUCUGCUCAAGACUUUACAGUCUAGGAUGAUGGCAAACAGGAUGCUGGACUCUAUGGUCCUUUGUUCCGAUCCAGCAGGGCCCUUCUUAUGUUCGGUCUGGUUCAGGAACUCCUUAUGUACAUGAGUAGCAACAGAAUAAAGUAUUUGUUAGGACCAACUAAAAUGUUACAGAGUGGUGAGUUAGCGUUUGGGUUUUUUGUCAACCUGUAUGUUAAGCAAAAGUACAAAGAGUAAAAAGCUGGCCAUGGAAAAACUCAAAUUCUGCAGUCUGAUUAACAUUGCUUACAUACUGCCUGAAGAAGAGUUCUGCGGAACUUGCUCACAAUUUAUGACAAUUUACUUGGUUCUAAAAAAGGUAUUACCUUACUGUUACCUUUGGAUUUUUUCUUAUUUAUUUAUUAUUUCUCUGUGUAAACCGCCCUGAGCUAUUGGAAGGGCAGUAUAGAAAUCGAUUUAAUAACAACAACAAUAAUAAUAAUAAUAAUGCACUGGCAUGGCUAUCUGCAAUUUUUAUUCAAUUUUUAUUUAAGCUCCCAUACACAUGGAGCUGCUGGGCUUCUGGAGCAGCUUUUUACAGCUUCUCGUGCUAGUUGUAAAACUAUGUGUGCCCAUGAAAUACUGCAAUUGGGUGGUGGGGCAGAUGCACGCACCAGACUUCCCCCACCCCCCGGAACUUUGUCCCUGGGCUGCCGGGCAGCUUGCUACAUGCCUGGAAAGAACAGUCUGCAAAAGGGGGUUCAGGGGGCAAAAGGGGGUGUUGGGAUCCAAAAAAUUAGGCCAGAGGAGCCUCAGGCCAAAGGCCCGUGCACCGCCCCUGCCCCCAGCACUUUCUGGCUAGCUUAAAGCAGAAGGAGACACUGGACUCAAAAUGCAGUGGGGGGAGGGGAAUCCAAAAGGGACAGCAGUAAGCCAAACUCAGCCAGGAAAAAAAUAAUUUGGAAAGGAGGGCAGUUGGAAUGGGGAUGGGGAGACAGGAAGCCAAAACAGGCAGGACAGGAGAGUCAGAGACCAGACCUCACCAUCAGCAAAGACCAGAAGUAGCACCACAAACCAGCACAGCCAGAAAAGCAGCAGCAACUCUCUCACCUCAGCAAAUAGUGAUUUUCCAAGCCCAGAGGCUGGCUUUAAGUAGAAGUUAAUCUCCCUCCUUUGGGAGCACCCACCCUUGCCCUCCCCCAGGACCAAUAGCGUGCCAGUUCUACAGGACUGGCAGCACUGCAGAGCUUACCAGAGAGCCGGAGACAACUGGCCAAUCAGGGAAGCAGGAUCUCAACAAAUCACAGCAAGUGACAGAACAGUCACAAAAUGGCCACCAGCACCUAAAAUUGAGGCUCAAGCCUUCGAGCUUCUUUGAACUGGUUCAAUAGAUCUAGGCUCUGUUCUAAACUCAGACUGGCAUUGCUAUAGGAAUGCCCUGUUUGGUCCAAGUUCAAAUUCGAACCUGUUUGCAUAUCCCUAACCCAGUCCCCUCAACAUGUGGGUGCCACAAGCUGUAAUUAACUCAGUCCCAAUUUCAGCACCAGCUGUGCCUGCUACCAUAGCUACUCUCUUUGUUUUUCAGCUGAAACAUACCUGGCAGCUGAUGCAACAAUCAGAAGGUUUCCUGCAUCAGCAGCCUUGGCAUGGAGGAUAUCAAGACCCCUGGGGAAAGUAGUUUUCCAGGACACAGUUGCUGUAGUCCUUUUUUGAGAUUGCUACUACUGCCAAGUAGGUUUUGGUAAAAGGGAAAAGAGCAGCAGGACUGGGGAGGCCUUAAGGCCACAUUAUGUUCCUGGUGACAAUCAUAAUUGGAAGCACAAAAAGACUUGGAGCUCAAAAUGGGUCAGAAUUUUAAAACAAGCUAACUUGGCCCCAAUGCAUUGUUUUACUCUGGAAUGGCUUUUAAUUGUUUUUAUGUGAUACUGUUUUAAUGUUUUGUUUUGUUUUGUUUUUAUAUUGGAUUAUGUACACUUCUUAGAGAGAUAGCAGGCUGUAUAUAAAUGUGAUAAACAAAUAAGUAAACAAAUCCGAAAUCAGUCCAAAGUAGAUUGUUUUAGGCAAGCCCUUUCUGAAUCAAGCCUGGAGAAGUUCAGCCAUCAUCAGAACUAACCUUCCUUGGAGUGUUCAAGAACAAGUUGGAUCCACAAAGCUUCCUUCAAGUAAAUUCACAGCACUAGGUGGAAGCGGUGAGAGGAUCCUGAAUGAGCCCCCCUAAAAAUCCCUCGAGUUGGAACUGAGGCUAUAAAGCUAAGACCGGAACUACAGGCAAGAGAUACAGGAGCUACAGUUCUUGUUGUUGCAUAGGUAUAUACUACAUGCUUGUGUACUGCCCAAAUGGUUGGGUUAUGAUCCAACACAAUGAUGGCAAAUGUCUGCCCCUCACAACUCUUCAGUCAGGUUGGAGAUAUGAUACAGCUACCAUGGCUUAUAGCCUCAGUGGGGGGAGGGGGAGACUAUGAAGUAAAGGAGAUUUCUUUCUUCCUCUUUACUUUAAAACACAAGCCACAGAACGCAAAGCAGAUUCUUGUGCGCCGCCUCCAAAUUGAAGCAGCCUGUCCCCUGCCCCCAUCAGCUCACAGGCUGCAUUCUCCAUUUUGAGAUGGGGGUUUGCUGAGGACUAAAUCGAGGGGAGGUGAUGCAGAAGAAUGGAGGUAAGGUGGAGGCAAAGGAGGGAGAAGGGAGGAAGAGGAGCAGGCAGUGGGGAGAGGAUCUUACAAAAUCUUCCAAGGAGCUCUGUCAUGACAGCAGGGAACCUUCCAACAGUUCUAGUGUUCUGUCCAACAAUUCCUGACAUAAGGCAAGUCAUGUCCAAAGCUCUAUCAGACCUGGCAUGACACACAGCCCUAUACUGUACUAUGCUAUGUGGUGUGCAAAUUGACAUCAACUACAUGAUUCUCUGCAGGGCUGUAGCUAUAAUUGAGUGGAUGGAUUCAAAGAACCCAGGCCUCCCAGCUUCUCAGGGCGCCCCCAGCUCAAUCCCUCCCUAUUUUCUUGAUUAUCUCCCUCACUCCGAGAGGCCGCCAGGGAGAGGAGUGAACACAGGCCCUCUCUCCCUUAGCUAUGCCCCUGAUUCUCUGUCAGUAUACUUUUCAACAUGUGGCCCAUUUUUCUAUAGAGGUUGCCUCUGUAGUGGAGUAUCAGCAUGUGACCUGAUUGGCAAGAGCACAUUCAGAAAGUUAUUGUCCUUGAACAAAGGAGGCAUGGAGGAAAAACACCACCACCUGGCAGACCCACUCAACAGCCAAACCGGCAAGGAUAUUGCUGGCUGAUGCUCCUUAUACUUUGUGAUAUGCAGCCACUUUUUAAAAGUUGGGCGACAUCAAGGUCAUGGAAACCGUUAACAGCUUGUCAUGGUAAGGGCACUCCCUAAUGCAUAACAGGAAAAUAUGGUUCAGAUAAGCGGGGAGCUUUCUAAUGGAUCUGCUUAUAUAAGGAGUGAUUAAAAGCUUCUGACAACCAAGGUUGCUUCCCUUCCUGUCCAUAAUGUAAAUGGAGCACAUUAGACGUGAGGCUAUGAAAAAACCAGCCUACCUGUUCAUAAAGAACUGAAAAGGAGGACAUUACAUUUGGACAAUCAAACUGGUUCACACUGAGUAAUAAGAAUUUAUAGUAUUUAUAUAGCUCUUUUUGAGUGUUUACUUUCUGUACAAUCACUUUACAUAUAAAGGCACUUCACAUGCAA